rnacentral:tRNA from 1 species
UGUUCUGUGGCUUAGUUAGUUGAAGCGCCGGACUAGCGAUACGGAGUCAUGGGUUUGAAUCCCGCCAAAUCAA